UUAUGGGUGCGCACCACCGUGCCUGGCUAAUUUUUGUAUUUUUUUGUAGAGAGGGGGUUUUGCCUUGUUGCCCGGGCUGGUCUCAAACUCCUGGGCUCAAGGGAUCCUCCUGCCUUGGCCUCCCAAGUAGCUGGGACUGCAGGGGCACAACCAGGCCCACCUAAUUUUUUUCAUUUUUUAUUAAAACAGGGUCUCGCUUUAUUGCCUGGGCUGGUCUCAAACUCCUGGCUUCCAGUGAUCCUCCUACCUCGGCCUCCCAAAGUCCUGGAAUUACAGGUGUGACCCACCGCGCCCGGCCUGUAGGCAAAGUCCUGAGCCGAGCUGUGACCACGCCUGGCCUGUAGGCAAAGUUCUGACCCGAGCCGUAGGAGUCAUUGCAAGGCACUGGCUGUGUCAUCGAGAGGGAGUCAUCCCUCUGAGCGUCAGUGUCUCCAUCUGGAAAACGAGUAUGAACACUGCCUUGCCUUUUGCCUGCCCAUCUCCUGGGGGCCAUGAGGGACACAUGACAUCAUGGAAAUGUCAGGCACAGCGGCUCUCAGAAGCACCCCCACCCUGACUUCCUCCCGCUCAGAGGGCACAGACUCACUACGGCCUGAGCCAAAGCGAACUGGGCGGCAAACCUGCCACAGCUUUAAAAUAACCACAAUCGAGCUGUGUCCCAGAGGCACAGAGGCGAGAGCUUCGGCUCCCAGCCCAGCUGCUGCCACUGCGGCAUCUGCGGACUGCGAGGCUGCAAGGCCUGGACUGAGCCCGAGCUGCCUGGGAGGAAACCGCAGGCAGGCCCGAGAGAGUCUCUCGUCCAGCCUUUGCCUGUCACUGGAAGGCCAGAGAGGGAAACAGAUUUUCAUCUGAGGUCACGCAGGAGGUUCUGAGCACAGCUGUCUCCCGACUCUCGCAGGUGUAGCAGGCCAGGCAGGUCCACGGAGUCACCCCGCCCCACCCACUACGUCCGUCCUUCGAUUUACACAAGGUCCAAGGAGCCGUUGCAGGGAAUGAACUUGAGCCACGCCUUCAGCUGGAUUUCAGACGUGGGCAGGUGUGUCUGUGUGCGGUGCGGGGAGGAGAGAGGAAGCCAUCGGAGCCACACUGCAGAGAGGGCCGUGUCCCCAGGAGAGAUUCGGACCCCAGGACGAGGCUAAGCUCAACGGGAAACAGGAUGGGAGGCGCCCGCCGUCGAGGGAGGGUGGAUCCAGGCCCGGCCCUCCCGGCUGCCACCCACACUCACCCCAGGCCUGCCCAGCAGGUGUGUGAGCCGCCUGGAAAAGGGGAGCUACAGGGAAGGGUGAAAAAGCCCCGAAUACAACACAGCUCCUAAAACUGGAAUUCGAUUUACAUGUAUAGUCAUGGGACGAUGUUUUUGAUAUCUUAUUAAGUGGAAAAAGAAGAUGAAAAAAGGAGUGUACAUAGGCAUCCACCCUGCGAACAUUUGUGUGAGUGCGAAGAGACAGAGAAGGUGGGAGAAGGACAAACACCCAGACCCCGAAGGUCAGGGGCGGGAGCUUCGCAUUUCACACACACCUCUGGUGUUUGACUUAUUUUUUAGGGUUGGAAUAUCCUUGAUAUGUCAUGUCUAUGAGGCAUCCAAGUCAGACAAUAAACUUGGCAGUUCUCUAUAAGGUUCGAGGUGGAGAUAAAGUCUGAGGUUUACAAAGUUAAGAACUAACAACGUAACUGUAUCGUUAAGGUUGGCGGCUCAUGCCUGCAUCCCAGCAGUUUCAGAGGCUGAGCAGGAGGAUCGCCUGAGGAGUCUGAGGCAGCCUGGGCAACAUAACAAGGCCCAGUCUCCACAAAAAAUGAGAAAUUAGCCAGGAGUGGUGGCGCACACCUGUAGUCCCAGCUGCCCGGGAGGCUGAGGUGGGAGGAUCACUGGAGCCCAGAGGGGUGAGGCUGCCGUGAGCUAAGAUCACACCGCUGCACUCCAGCCGGGGCAGCACAGCGAGACCCUGUCUCAAAAAAACAAUCACGAAAAAAAAAAAGAUUUAACAACUUUGCAAUGAAUUAGAUCACCCAGCAGUUAUAAGAAAGAGGUUGGGGGGCAGGGAGGAAGGCUGUACUGAGGUUUUAAUAAUUAUUGAGCAGUGACCGUGUUUCAGGAAAGAGAUGGGGAGGGAGGGAGGCUGUACUGAGGUUUUAAUAAUUAUUGAGCAGUGACCGUGUUUCAGGAAAGAGAUGGGGAGGGAGGGAGGCUGUACUGAGGUUUUAAUAAUUAUUGAGCAGUGACCGUGUCUCAGGAAAGAGAUGGGGAGGGAGGGAGGCUGUACUGAGGUUUUAAUAAUUAUUGAGCAGUGACCGUGUCUCAGGCACCGUUUUAAGAGUUUAUCACAUACUUUCCUCAUUGCAAUCCUUGCAACCGCCCCCGAGAUAGGUAUUAUUAUUCCCGACUUCCAGGUGAGAGACCUGAAGCAGACAGAGGUGAGGGAAUGAGCCCAGGCCGGGAGGACGCAGGGAGGCAGAAUCCAGCGUUCUAAACCUCUGCACAGUCCUGUAAGUUACUUUUUAAAAUUCCGUCGAGAGGAAACUAGUAAGACCAAGAGAAGCUAACUCAUUAAAGUCUGUAAUCUGCUGAGGCUCAAACAACUGAGGCACUGAGGCUGGUACCCCAGGCCACCCCCACCAACAACAUAACCAGAGGGGAAGGAAGUCAGGCCCCUUCUCACUCUGAGCAGCUGGUGCCUGGGAUUUUAGGCUGUCACGACGAUUCCACCCGGCCAGGGCAGGCCCGAACCAGCCGGAGGCCACAGGAGAACCAAUGAGCCUGGCUGGACUCCUGCAAACCUUGAGGGACGCCGAGAUUCACAUUCACUGAAUUUUCAUGCCACGUGACACUCUUCUUCUUUUGUUCCCUCCCGCCCUGCCCCACGGAGCCAUUUAC
rnacentral:lncRNA from 10 species